CUUGCAGAAGUCCAGAGGCCCUUCAAAACACCCAGCCUUCCUGCCUCCUGCCUCAGUGCUUGGCUCUCCCUGGUCCACGGAGCUUCUCCUUGCGACUUGUGAGCUAUCCCCUACCCCCGGCUCCUACUUUCCUCAUCCCUCACUACUCCAGGAGAAAACUGAGAGUCCAAAGAGGGGAAGUUAUUUGGGCAAUAUUGGGGAGCCAUUAAGUGAUCCAGGUGCCUUGAGUCCUGUGAUUCCACCUGAGCUGCUCUCAUCCUCAGCCUUCAUCCUACCCAAGGUUUGCUGGGAGGGGAAGAGAUAUAAUGAGGGGAAGAGGCAGAGAAUGGCUCCUUUCUGUCUAAGGAGAGCCGGGGAAGGAGGCAAUGCUUCCCACCGACCUGACCCCCUGGAUUCUGUUUGGGGUUGCUCCCGUGGGAGAUUACAGGAUAAAAAAGGUAGACCGAGUCCUCUGGCCUGGACCGCUCCUUCUUGUGGCCACCUCUACAGAGGGGGAGCUACCAGGGGACCGGAACCAAACCUCGCCCUGCCCGGCCCACUGAGGCCCCCCAGACUCCAGUGCUAGAGACAAGGCAAUUGGCAGAAGGUGAGGCUGGGACGAGCGCUGGAGUUGGGAGCAGAGGUUGGGUUUCUGCUUUGCCAUUUGCUAUCCGUGGGAUCUGAGGUAAGUCACAGCUUCCACGAAUCUCACUUUCUUCCUCUAUGGGAUGAGGGUUUUAGAUCACAGGGUCAUAGCUUUCAAGCUGGAAGGGACCUCAGAUGGCAUUGAGUCCAACCUCCUCAUUUUACAGAUGGGAAAACUGAGGCCCAGAGAGGCUGACUGUAUUAUCUCUAAGGUCUCUUCUAUCUUGAAACCCUACCAGUGACCCUGGAGGUCACAACAUUGCCCCUAGAAGGGACUUGUGGAAAUACUGAUAUUCUCUGUGGGAGGGAAAAGCUAUGAAAUAAUCACCUACAAAGCCCUCUGAGAUUGGAUAACAGAGUGCAGGGCCCUGAAGGGCUCAGAGACUCAGGUUGGGGAGGUUCUGAAUGGCAGAGGCAGUGUGGGAGGCAGGGGAGGGAGUGGAAGAAUAGGGAGGGAGUUAGAGGGAGGGGACUCAGAGUACCUAGUUCAUGUCAAAGGGCAGUAGGAAGCCCAGAGAGUAUAUGCACAGGGUGGUGCAGGGAGGCAGGGCAGAUUUUCCAGAAGAGAGCCUUGAUGGCCCAUGAAGUCCAAGGACAAUUUCAGGGUAACUUUGGGCUCUGAGUGAUUUUCCAAGUUUCCAAAUAAUGUGGGGAGUAGGAGAGAAGAGAGGAUAGGCCCCACUUCUAUUUGCAGGGUUUGCUGUUAAUCAGCUCCUCCCUGAACUAGGACUUGAGUCCCCUUCUCUGAGAACUUUUCAGGGUCAUGGAGGCUCCUCCUUCUUCACCGGUUUUGGAGAUGAGCAGGGCCUCUUACUCCCUGCCCCUUCUCCUCCACCCCAGAUGUCCCCAAGUCCCCAUAGCUUGCCUCCAGCCGGUGACCUUGUGGCCCUGCCAGCCACUGGAUGCCCAGUCCCCCACCCCACCCCGGGGGGGCCUCUUCGGUCAGCCCCAGGUGAUCGGUUCCUGCCCUCCCCCCCCCAUUAAAAGUGGCUUGGACUGCUGCUGAGCCCCAUCUCCUCCCGCAUCAGCCCUGCUUCCCAGAGCCCACCAACGCCGUGAAGCUCUGGCCAAACAUUUUCCCUUCUCUGGGCCCCAAUAUUUUCCUAUAGAAAUUGGAGGGGGCCAGACGGCGAGACCUCCAGCUUAACAUUCCAGACUAAAAAUGAUAUGAACGCGAAUUUUAGAAGCCGAGUCUUACAACUGCGAGGGCUCCCCGAAGGUCAAUUCAUUCAUCCCUCUGCAGCAGGCUGAGUAGGUGGCAGCACCUAUAUGUAGUCAGGAAUUACUCCUGGCUUUCAGGGUCAGGCAGGGCAAGAGAGGAGGAAAUUGGUCCCUUCCUGACGACCCGCGCCCAGGCUACCUCCUAGCACUGACUUCAAUUUCUCCCUUCUUCCCCCUUCUUCCCCUUCCAUGGGCCUGGACAGAUGGGUUUCUGAACGGAGGACGGAGAGGAAAGCCGGGGGGGGGGGUCUCAACCCUUCUCUGCUUUCCUUCCUUCCUUCUUUCCUUCCCUCCCUCCCAGAGUCCUUCAGCACUGUGGCAAGCACCUUGUUACAUUUAGAGAGCUAGGAAGCGGCACAAUCAGUUGGAAGUACGGAACAUCUGAGAGGAACCCCAUUCUAGUUCCUCAUCUCCACCCCCACCCCCAUCAAACCCUACUUGGCAAUCUCUGGAGAAGCAAGUCCCCUCCUCAGUCACCACAGGAUGUCUUGGGGGCCCUCCCCGGGUUCCCUCUGGGCCCUUUCCCCCUGCCUCCUUGGUUUGGUCCUUCUCAGUUUCUCUCUCCUACCUCCCAGGGCAGUGAAGAGUAUCCAGGGGCUCAUGAAGGGGGCAAUACUUUGGAAAAUUAACCAAAGGGUUAACCAAAGGGGGGGAUUGAAUCCUGGUUGUUUUAUAAUUGGGGAAACUGGGGGGAAGGGACUUGUCCAAGGCCACUUCCAGAUGGUAGCCUAUCCCCUGCCUCCGGACUCACAGACCAUAGAAAAGUCCCCUCCCUGGGCCUUGGUUUCCCCAACUAUGACAGGAAGAGGUUGGCUAGAUGAGCUUUAAGAUCUCUUCCAUCUCCCAGAUUCUGUGGGGUGCCAAGAAGACUCCCCGAGCCCUUGAGAAAAGGGCUGGGGAGGGCUGAAGGAGCAGAACUUCCUGGGGACCUCGGGGCGGAGGGCGGGGUUUACAAGGUUGCUGUCUUGGAAGAUGGGGGCACAAUCACACAGGACUCUUUCCAUUGUCUAGAGGGGCCCAUUGAGGCAUGGAGCUGAGGAUUCAAGGCCCCAAGACCUAUAAAGCUGCCCCCCUUUCAGGGGAGAGAUGGCUAUUCAGCAAUGGAAGGCUGUACUCAGGCCAGAACACACAAAUACACCCCCACUCUCUCCCUCACUCCCUUUCUCUCUUCUCUGAUUCUCUUUCUUUCUUGUUCUCUCUCUCUCUCUCUCUCUCCUCUUUUGUUCUCUCGGAUUCUUUCUCUCAUUCUCUGUUUCUCCCUCACUCCUAUUCUCUCUUAUUCUCUCUGCAUGCCCCCCUCCAUCACGUCCUCAUCCCUAGUUUCAGUUUUUCUCACUGAGGCUUACCUUAGUUUCCCCUUUUGUAAAAUGAGGUUAGACUGGAUCACUUCUGAGGUCCGUUUCCACAAUUCUAUGAUCCUGUUCUUUCUUUCUCCUCCCCUCCAUCUCCUUCUCCUUCAUCUCCUUUCUCUCUUUUUCCGUUCCUGUCUGUGUCUGCCUGUCCAUCCGUGACCGGCUGUCCAUCUGUGUCCGUCUGUCUCAGUUUGCCCGUGAUUGCCCGUCCAUUUGUGUCCGUCUGUCUGUCUGCCCGUCCGUCUCUAUGUCUCUCUUUCUCCUCCAGGACUGCCCCUCGCCUCUCGCCUCCAGCUCCCUGGCCUCUCUUCUGACGGCAGGCCUGCAGUGCCACACUC